AGACGCCCGCCCGCCCGGGCCCCGCCGGCUUCCCGGGACGCACUCCUCUCCCUCCCCGCCGGCGCGCGCACCCUGGACCGGGCGCGCCCUGAACGCGCGGCGCGCUCGGCCGGACUCGGAGGGAAACCGCGGCAGAGCUCGGCUGCAGCGUGGUAAAGGAUGGCGCGGGCUCAGCAGAAAGGAAAUCAAAACGCUCCCUUCCUUCCGCGGCUUCUUCUUUCCCUGUGUCCGAAGAGGUCUGCGUUGCGACUUACGUGGUAGUGCUUGGAAGGUGCGGAGUAGAUGAGAGAUAAGUGAAUGUGGACAAACCUGUCACGUAGGACGAGGUGGCCGAGUGGUUAAGGCGAUGGACUGCUAAUCCAUUGUGCUUUGCACGCGUGGGUUCGAAUCCCAUCCUCGUCGGCCCUGUUUUAUAGAGGUUGGGGGGGAAGCAUCUACAUUUUCACAUCCUGCCUAUUUGGAGCAGCAAGCUGGAGGUGCGAGGGGUGAGGCAUCUAAAUUUUCACAUCCUGCCUGUGGAGCAGCAAGCUGAAGAAAACUGAACUGGGGAUUGAAGGUGGCGGGUUCCUGUAGUCCCAGCUACUCAGGAGGCUGAGGCAGGAGAAUGGCAUGAACCCGGGAGGCAGAGCUUGCAGUGAGCCGAGAUCGUGCCACUGCA
rnacentral:lncRNA from 1 species